CUGCUGUGAACGGCAGCGGAGGAUAGGAGGCGCUGUUGCACAGAGAUCGCCAAGUAUGGACACCUGGUCUUUGAACAGGACUGGGUCCAGCCUCAUUUGAGAAUGGAUCAGGGGCAUGGUGCCAAACCAGUUGGCAAACUUGUUCAUGCAGGUCUGACGCUGGGCAAAAUGGUCCGGGUCAGCCCAACGAGAUGCUCGGGAGCUCUGUGGAUGGAAGGUUUUGAAAGGUGCGAGAGACACAGACAGUGGCAGAAGGAGGGAUUUAGUGGAACUAAAGACUAUCAGAGCAUAAAACACUUAACUGUGGAUGAUAAUAAACAAAUCCACAAAACCAUCCACACGAUUUAAGGAAAAAAAAAAGAAGCCCCACCUGUCCCAUCAUGGUUUCCUUGUAUUGUUUCUUCUGGGUGACCUUGAUAGGUGGCAGUUUAGUCACCAACGACACCAAAAAAUUCAUGAGAAUGUCCUCACAGUUGGACAUCUGGUCAACCAUGAUCUUCAGACUGGCUGGAAGUAACAGGGACUGAUGUGGCAGGCCAGCGGUGCUUGGCAGGAAGAGGCUUUUCACAGUUCCACAAAACUAUCACCUGCACAAAGAGGGGUAAAAAGUAUGGAUUAAAGAUAAACACCAUGAAGAAGACCUCAUUUUAAUUUCAAAA